CAGCAAGUGUUCACACCCCGUGGAGAGGAGGCCCUCAGUGCCAUGGGUUAGUGGUGGCCUUGGCAGUGCUGGGCAAUGGUUGGACCUGAUGAGCUUAAAGGUCUUUUCCAACCUCAUUGAUCCUUUGUUUCUGUCAUUCUAUGAUGAGCUACUGUAAGUCUUGGUGUAAACCCAUCCAUUUUCAGGUCCUUUUAGGCAGAGUUGUUCCUCUUUGAGCAGACUCUUUUCAAUCCAUCCCUUUCUGCAAGUCCAAAAAGAAAAACAAGAACCAGGAAGGCGAGGUCAUGUGCAGGGCUGAAUAAUCCAGAUCAAACAGCAAUGAACACCCGAUUAGGAGCCAACACAUUUCUCUUUUCACUAUCUGUGCAAUUGUUUGGCAGAUCUAAUUCGAACCAGGUGCAAGCUAUAAUAUUUAUUGCAACAAUGCAUCAUUUUUGUCUGUUUCCAAGGUCAUCCCUGUAGCCAAUGGGAAGGCAGCAACCCACAGGGAGUAGAACUUUGCCUAUAUGGGUAAGACGGGAAUUACUUAACCCUUUAUCUAUUGGAAUGGAAUACAACAUUGCACAAAGCACACAGCUAACAAAACAGAAAAUCCUAUGUGAAAUCUUGGAUGAUAACAGGUUCCAGUGAAGUAAGUGACAUCACCAGCUGAGCUAAUAGCCAGCCUUAGGUGAAAUGGGGUAGGUACAGAUAAGGAAUGAGAAAAACACAUUUUUUUUUUACUCCUUCUUUUUCAAAGGCCUGGGUUUAUGUAGAAUUUGCUGCAGUAGGAGGCCGUGAUUGCAUGUUAUCUAGUGCCUACUGUACAGUUGGGUCUCAUAUGCUAUGUUUGGCUAAGCUUUGGCAACCUAUUUCUUUGGCUAGGGCUGUCUCCAGAGAUCUGAGGCUGCAGAUGCACCUGCACAGAGGCACCAAGGCACUGCCUUUGGAACUGCCACUCGAGCCUGCCAGGGCUGUCAAGCGAGAGGAAGUUGUUGAUCCUUCCUGCCCCUUGAGACAGCAAUUCAGAGAGACAAGGUCCAUGUGCUGCUAUCCAUCUAAGGCUGCAACUUUGAAAGUGACAUUUUGUGAGCAAGUUCUUGAUUGAAGUGUGAUGUCAGGAGAAAGGCCAGUCAGGUUUAUUAUCUGUGCGAGAGCCAAUAUUGGCAGCCUGAAUCGACUCCUUUCUCCAAGCAGUUGAGUUGGCCAUUCACGUACUACAAGUGCUUUCUCCGGCUGAUAAAACCUCCACCCACAUCCUAGAUGGCUGUUACAUGGGAAGCUUGUGAAGAGCCCAUGCAGUGUAUCUAGUCAGUGGAGCAAAGCAGAGGGGGCAAAGAGCUGGCCUUGCAAUGUAGCAAUAACGGAUGGAAGAAUAUAUGGACAUGCAGCUAACAAGAAGGGAAGGGAAGUGGCUGGAGGGGAAAGAGAUAUAAUGGGUCCCAAAUGUGGCAAGCACAUAUGCUGCCAUACAGCAAAUGCAAAGUGCCACCACUAGUGACAAGUGUAUUGCACCUAAGGAAAACAGCUGUGCCAAGCGCCCAAAUCCACAUUCAGCCUCCUGACCCUAUGUCUCCCUGGUCUGAUGUGGAUUAAACUGGUCAGGUCUGAGAGCCCAUCCAAGUACACAUUCCACACAAACAAUGGCUCAGUGUAUCUCUGAUAUACUCCUUGCAGGGCUGAUUCUUUUGCAUUUGCAAUCUUGCAUUUGUGAGAUUGUUGUAUCUUAUUUUCUGCAUUGUGCUAUGCUCGGUGUCGCACAGGGAGUUUGAUUGUCUGUGUAGAUCGCUGCAUGGUUUAGUGCAGUUCUGUGUUACAAACCCUCCCCAUAACCCUAUGAUUUGUUAAUAAUUCUCCUAUUUUGAAGAAACCCCCUUUGACACCUGAGCUGGAUCUCCUCUUCUUAGGCAUAAAUGUAAUAAAGUCCCCAGUGAAGAGCAUCCCUCUAACUGGUCCUGUCUGCUCUGUAUAUAUUUGAAUAUAUAAAAUAUUAAUAGAUGGUUCCAAAUGUUUAAUCAUA